CUGCUGCCACCGUGUUCCACUGCCGUUACCGUCACCGGUGUUUUUGCUCGCGAUUGUCACUUGGGGUUACUGACGGAGCCACUGCCGGGUUGAUAGGGAGCUGCGACUGCUUCGUUUUGUGAUUUCAGAGUUAGAAUCCGGUUUGCUUAUGCCGCUUGUAGCUGUUUCUGCUUUUGAGAGAGCAAGCAGAGCCAAGGUUUUGAUUGCCGGUGAUUUCGGGCCGAGCAAAAAGGAGUCAGUUAACGAGUUUGGGAUGUAUUUUCAACGUGUUGAGGUAGGGGCGCUUUCCAAAAACU